AGUAAAUGCUCCAACUACAAGAAUCCGACCAACACCUCAGAAACACACUACAGUAAAUGCUCCAACUACAGGAAUCCAACCAACACCUCAGAAACACACUACAGUAAAUAUUGCAGCUGCAGAAGUUCAACCAACUCCUCAGAAACCCACCACAGUCAGUGUUCCAGAUGCAAAAGUCUCACUCAUUCCUCAGAAAACCAUCACAAUAAACAUUUCAGAUACAAAAGCCCCACUAACUGCUCAGAAACCUCCCAGGGCAAAUAGUUCAGCCACAAAGACCCCAGCAGCAGCUCAGACAUCCCCCCUGCCACAUGUUCUGUCUACAGUGACCACACUGGCAGCCCAGAAUUCCGCCACGGCUAACACUUCUGCCACACAGACCGCACCAACAACCCCAAUACUCACCACAGCAAAAGCUUCCUUUACACAGACUCUUCCAGCAAGACAAAAGUCCACUACUAAGCAUGUCUCAGGUACACAAAGACUCACCUCUGCUCGUAUUACAGCAACGUCCCGUCCGCCUGUUUCCAGGAUAAGUACACGUCCUCCUACAACAGCAUCUGAAGAGAAAGGGUUGUCUUCAGGUACAAAAAGUCUCAUAUAUGGAUUUGUUGCUGGUACUGUAAUAAUUGGUAGUCUAUUUGUAGCCAAGGUUUUCUGGGACCGUGGAAAAUCAGGCCAUUAUAUGACACAAGAGAACAACAAAGCACCCAUUGUUAAUACCUCAAAUGAGGCUGAUGCUACCUCAGAAAUAAGACCUCUUUCCGAUAAAUUACAAAAGGACACUCAUGUAUAAAAUUGACGAUUUUGCUUGUGAUGCUAGUAACCGCUGGCUACCUGACAUAGCCAAAGAAGAGUUAAGAAGAGAUCGUCCCCAAAUACUCGGAAUAUUUCUAGCUUGUUACAAGUUCCUGGAGAAACACAGAUACAAUAAACCCAGUAGUGCCCUCUGCUUUGCAUGUUGCCCUUUAUCUUUUUUAGGGUAUGUUAGGAAUGUCAACAAAACAAGGGGGCAGGAGUCCAUCUGGAAGGAAAUUCUCAACGCACCUAAAGCCUCUUGAAAGUAGAAGGCCUUGCAGAAUUGAGAAGAUCACUUUCCUAAAAGUAUAGGAAAGUAGAGACAUUUGUUUAUGCUUACAGUGGGAGCCUGAAUUUCUAUCACUAGAUGUGUAAGCUUAUUUUUACUUGUAAAAGGAAAUAAAAAGUUUAAAACGUUAAUUGGAUAGCAGAAACAAAAUAUCUCAUAUUUUCUAAGCAAAAUUGCCAAAAAGAGAUGAACCAGAUUCUAAAAUAAUGCUUAAACUAUAAAGCACUUUUACAUAUUUCAUUAAAAUGAAUCUUUGGUUUUGGCAAAAUGUUUUAAAGGAAAAACAUACUAAUGAUCCAGGAAUGUAUGUUUCUUGACUUAGUUGGUGGCAAGGGAGGAACAGGAAGUAAAGGAGUUGCUUCUCCCUUUGUUGCAGAAUACAGAUAACAAAACAGGACUUAGUCUAAUACUUACAAGAUUGAUAAGCUGAAAUUUUGUACUUAGGACAGGCUGUUUUGUUUUGUGUUACUUUGUUUCCUCAGGAAAAGAGCCUUAUGAAAGAUAUCUUUGAUUUAAUGUCUUUAAAAAAGUACCCAGGAGCCAGAUGUAGUGGCACAUGCCUGCAAUCCCACCACUUGGGAGGCUGAGGCAGGAAGAUGGCCAUGAGUUUGAGACCUGCCAGCCUGAACUACCAGUGAGAGCCCCCCAAAGUAUCCAGAGAUAGAUAGUAAAAUAUUGACAUAAGGAAAGAUUCUGUAUUUCUGAAGUGAGAUGUUCAUAGCCAAAUUGUAAAUCUUAUUCUUUGUAACAUUAAUUUAUUUAUAUUUAUUUAUGUUGGUGAAUAUUUUGGUUCAUUUCAAGAAGAUAUGUAAAUGAAAAUUUAUUUUCCCUAAGUGGAAAUAAAUAAUCACAGUUUUUGGCCUCAUGUAGUAUUUGAAAUUUAUUUUCUUUAAUGUGAAUAUCUUAUUUCUAAAUAAGAGUCCCUGUACCUCAGAUAUCAUUUAGAUUGCUGUCCCUUGGUUACCCUCAUGUGACUCAUUUUCAGGUACUUUAAAAUUGUACUACAUUGUACCUUCUCAAGAAUGUGAUACCCUCUCCUAAUAGUCUUGAUAUUAUUUGUUACUGAUUUCUAGGUUUUUAAUACAUUCUUAUUUGCUAUUUUGAAUGGUAGACUAGAACUAAAAUAUAUGCAUAACUAGAUUAACAAUGGUUAUUGCUUUGUCUAUUUUGUUAUUCUUGGUAGUAAAGUACUUUAAGUUCCAUUCACUUCAUGGCAUUUCACUGUAAAACUGUCAAUAUAUAUUUCUAACAAUAAGGGCAUCUUUUCUUCCUAACCGCAAUCAUUACAGCUAACAAGAUUAACAAUAAUUUUCUAGUUGUUUCUAAUGUUAGGAAAUUAUUGGUUUUUUUUCCCUUAAAUUCUUUUAUUGGUACAUUUUAGGUAUGCAGUACAUUUACAUUUCUCAUUGGGAACUUGUACCUGUACAUGAUGCAUCUUGGUUCUUAUUUUUUCCCCAUUCCCUGCCCUCCCUUCACCCCCUCC
rnacentral:lncRNA from 1 species